GCACCCGUAGCUCAAUUGGAUAGAGUCCUUGACUUCGAAUCAAGUUGUUGGGGGUUCGAGUCCCUCCGGGUGUGCCA
rnacentral:tRNA from 1 species